GACUACCGGGGUAUCUAAUCCUGUUCGAUCCCCACGCUUUCGUGCCUCAGCGUCAAUAUCGGCCCGGCGAGCUGCCUUCGCAAUCGGCGUUCUGCGACAUAUCUAAGCAUUUCACCGCUACAUGUCGCAUUCCGCCCGCCUCGACCGAAUCCAAGGCGCCCAGUAUCAACGGCCGUUCGAAGGUUGAGCCCCCGCAUUUCACCGCUGACUUAAGCGCCCGCCUACGCACCCUUUAAACCCAGUAAAUCCGGAUAACGCUCGGAUCCUCCGUAUUACCGCGGCUGCUGGCACGGAGUUAGCCGAUCCUUAUUCCCGGGGUACCGGCAUCGGCCCACACGUGGGCCUUAUUCUUCCCCCGGAAAAGCAGUUUACAACCCGUAGGGCCGUCUUCCUGCACGCGGCAUGGCUGGUUCAGGCUUGCGCCCAUUGACCAAUAUUCCUCACUGCAGCCUCCCGUAGG
rnacentral:rRNA from 1 species